rnacentral:lncRNA from 1 species
UUGCUCCAAAAUGCUCCAAAAUGCAUCUUCUUGCCUACUUUGUCCUUAAAAUCUGAAAACACACAAAAAUGACUUUAAACAUUAAAAUAACUAAGGAAACACGACAUAAAUGCACAAGAACAAGCCAACUAAGUCGCAUAAAUAUGCUCCUAUCAAAUUCCCCCACACUUAGCUUUUGCUAGUCCUCGAGCAAACAAAGAAAUAAAACGAAACGAAACAAAUACAACACAACCUAAACCUUCCAACAUUUGUCUCAGGGAUUUCCAAUGCACAUGACAUGUUAAAGAUUAUCAUCCCCACAGAUUUGAGUCAUCUCUACACUUAAGCACAUACUUAAUCAUAGUCACUACUUGUUCACGUUAAUCAAUUAAAACAAUGUUUUGAAUGUAGUAACAUGCCUUAGAGAGUUCGCUCAAGUCCUUACAAAGUAUGCACUCAAUUUUCACUCAGAUUUCCAACUACACACCCUAUACUAGUCAUAUGUGAGAAGAUUGAUGUAAACAUGAAAACGAACGCUCACAUAUAUGUAUUACAAAGAAAGCGAUUUCUGGAGCAUGUUUAGAUAUGAUCUCAUGAAUGGAAUGCUACUACUUAGAUGCGAGAACCAGUGACACCAUAUGCUCAUAUCAAUUUCAAACUCCACAUAUUUAAACGCAUGACACUCAAGAUGAAGUCAAAGGUUGUAACGGGCUUGGGGUGUUGGCUAACAAAUGAAGGUAAGGGAAAACAAACGUUCUUAAAGCAAUAGCAAAUAAAAUAAUGAAUUUGAACUUAGAAUUCACUUAGAUUGCAGAAAUCAACUUUUAGACGUAAGGGAAAGAUUUAAACAACUCUUAGGGUCAAAUUCAACUUUUUUUUAUAUAUUUUUUUUCUUUCCACCCGUGCCUAUGGCACACUACUUACAUGAGAAACACUUCCCCCACACUUAUUUUCUACCAUACAUAAUCACAAGGAAUUCAAUUUGAAUCAUGCUUUACUAUGCUUUAAGAACAAGGGUAUGGAUGGUCCU